GAUCUAGCCAUGCAUGUCUCUGCGCACACGGAAUUACAGUGGAUCUGUGAAUGGCUCCUUACAUCAGCAGUCAUCUCCAUGAUAGAGUGUGGAUGGCACCAACUCCCAGGUGCCCGCUUGGACAUCCUCCAAAACCUAGUGGCUAAUACACGGUCGAAACAGUCUGCCAUAACACAGUUCUGCUGGCAGUUCACUGUCUGGCUAGACUGGUGGUGGAUUGCACCCAGCUGCUGAGAAGACCAGCGCCUGGAAAGGCAGUGUGUCAUGGCUGACUCAUGCUGGUCCCUCUGGGACAGUUGCACUGGCAGAGUGGUGGCUUAUGCCACAGCAUUGCUUGAUCACACGAACUUCUGACCUAUCAGCUUGGACUGUGGUGUAGUGGACCACAGUGGCAGUGACGGGUAACGGAGAAUCAGGGUUCGAUUCCGGAGAGGGAGCCUGAGAGACGGCUACCACUACCAAGGUGGGCAGCAGGCGCGCAAAUUGCCCAAUGCCAAGGCAGUGGUGAGGCAGCGACGAACUGCAGCAAUCCCGCCUGUCCUUGUGACCAGUGGGACUUGUAAUGGAUGCAAUCCAAACACAGUGAUGAGUAUCAACUGGAGGGCAAGUCUGGUGCCAGCAGCUGCGGUAAUUCCAGCUCCAAGAGUGUAUACUAACAUUGCUGCUGAUAAAACACUUGUAGUCGGAUGCUGGGUGUGGGUCUGCCAGGUGGCUGGUGUCUGCGGUUGUGGCUCUCGGGUCAUGGCUGUAGUCGCUGGAACUCAUCCCCUGGCAGUAUGCUCCCACACCCGAGCCUACAU
rnacentral:rRNA from 1 species